rnacentral:snRNA from 1 species
UUUUAUAUUGUGCAGUAUGGGAGA